GUGGGGAAUAUUGCACAAUGGGCGCAAGCCUGAUGCAGCGACGCCGCGUGAGGGAUGACGGCCUUCGGGUUGUAAACCUCUUUCGCCAGGGACGAAGCGCAAGUGACGGUACCUGGAGAAGAAGGACCGGCCAACUACGUGCCAGCAGCCGCGGUAAUACGUAGGGUCCGAGCGUUGUCCGGAAUUACUGGGCGUAAAGAGCUCGUAGGUGGUUUGUCGCGUUGUUCGUGAAAACUCACAGCUCAACUGUGGGCGUGCGGGCGAUACGGGCAGACUGGAGUACUGCAGGGGAGACUGGAAUUCCUGGUGUAGCGGUGGAAUGCGCAGAUAUCAGGAGGAACACCGGUGGCGAAGGCGGGUCUCUGGGCAGUAACUGACGCUGAGGAGCGAAAGCGUGGGGAGCGAACAGGAUUAGAUACCCUAGUAGUCC
rnacentral:rRNA from 1 species